rnacentral:rRNA from 1 species
GACGUAGGGCGCGAGCGUUGUCCGGAUUUAUUGGGCGUAAAGAGCUCGUAGGCGGCUUGUCGCGUCGUCCGUGAAAACCUGCAGCUCAACUGCAGGCUUGCGGUCGAUACGGGCAGGCUAGAGUUCGGUAGGGGAGACUGGAAUUCCUGGUGUAGCGGUGGAAUGCGCAGAUAUCAGGAGGAACACCGGUGGCGAAGGCGGUUCUCUGGGCCUGUUCUGACGCUGAGGAGCGAAAGCGUGGGGAGCGAACAGG